rnacentral:rRNA from 1 species
UAGGGAAUCUUCCACAAUGGGCGAAAGCCUGAUGGAGCAACGCCGCGUGUGUGAUGAAGGGUUUCGGCUCGUAAAACACUGCUGUAAGAGAAGAAUGACAUUGAGAGUAACUGUUCAAUGUGUGACGGUAUCUUACCAGAAAGGAACGGCUAAAUACGUGCCAC